rnacentral:tRNA from 1 species
AUUUAUGUAGUUUAUAAAAACAUUACACUUUCACUGUAAAGAUAAAACUUUUUUUCAUAAAUA